CUACGUAGGUGGCAAGCGUUGUCCGGAAUUAUUGGGCGUAAAGCGCAUGUAGGCGGUAAUUUAAGUCUGUCGUGAAACUGCGGGGCUCAGCCCCGUAUGGCGAUGGAAACUGGGUUACUUGAGUGCAGGAGAGGAAAGGGGAACUCCCAGUGUAGCGGUGAAAUGCGUAGAUAUUGGGAAGAACACCGGUGGCGAAGGCGCCUUUCUGGGCGGUGUCUGACGCUGAGAUGCGAAAGCCGGGGUAGCGAACGGGAUUAGAUACCCCGGUAGUCCUGGCCGUAAACGAUGGGUACUAGGUGUGGGAGGUAUCGACCCCUUCCGUGCCGGAGUUAACGCAAUAAGUACCCCGCCUGGGGAGUACGGCCGCAAGGCUUAAACUCAAAUGAAUUGACGGGG
rnacentral:rRNA from 1 species